rnacentral:rRNA from 1 species
UCAGGAUGAACGCUAGCUACAGGCUAACACAUGCAAGUCGAGGGGCAGCAUGAUCGAAGCUUGCUUGAUGAUGGCGACCGGCGCACGGGUGAGUAACGCGUAUCCAACCUUCCCUAUAGUAGAGAAUAGCCCGGCGAAAGUCGGAUUAAUGCUCUAUGUUGUAUUUAGAGGACAUCUGAAGAAUACCAAAGGUUUACCGCUAUAGGAUGGGGAUGCGUCUGAUUAGGUAGUAGGCGGGGUAACGGCCCACCUAGCCGACGAUCAGUAGGGGUUCUGAGAGGAAGGUCCCCCACAUUGGAACUGAGACACGGUCCAAACUCCUACGGGAGGCAGCAGUGAGGAGUAUUGGUCAAUGGACGGAAGUCUGAACCAGCCAAGUAAGCGUGCAGGAUGACGGCCCUAUGGGUUGUAAACUGCUUUUAUAUAGGGAUAAAGUCGGGGACGUGUCCCCGUUUGUAGGUACUAUAUGAAUAAGGACCGGCUAAUUCCGUGCCAGCCGCUGC